rnacentral:lncRNA from 1 species
GUGGCUGCGACGGUGGCGGCRGUGCUGGGAGCAGCCGUUCCCCCGGCUCCUCCGCUGCGCCCGCCCCGCUCGCUGCUCCCCGGGGCCGGGGCCGCCCUCCCCGUGCAGCAUCCCCCUCUCCCCGGAGCCCCCCCCCCGUGCCCUAUGAUGUCAUAAGCCAUCUCCAUAGCAACCAGCGAUGAGGUCACCGGCGGCAGCCACAGAACCUGCCCCGCGGCRGUGCUGGGGGGCAGGAUUGGGCCGAGCUGGGGGCCGAGCCGCCGGCUCCGCUCGGCGUGGGGCGAGGAGGCGGCCCCGGUGCUGGUGCGGGAGGUGCCCAGGACACGGCGGCUUGGGCCCCCUCCGGCUGCUUGCAGAGGCCCCACUGGUGCUUCGGGGGCAUCCCCGGCUCUGGGGGUUGAAAAGAUCCCAGAGCAGGGACUGGAUCCCAAACAGAUCCCAGUCUAAUCGCCACCACCCCCAAAAAAAUCACUCGUGCCYGGCCCCGCCGUGCAGGGAGCCAGAGCCAUGGAGGGGUUCAUCCAUCCCAGAGGUUUCCACAGGUGGGGGCCACCCCCACCUCUGGAUGGGGAAGCUGAGGCCCUUAGCCACGCCACGGACAGGAGCCGGGAGUCCUGCCGGCCCCUCCCAGAGCCAGGCAGGGAACCCAGGGGGCUCCGGGCCCCCCUCAGCCCCCAGCCCAGCCGGGCACGGGGGCUGCUGGUGCUGUGCCCUGCAGUGCAGCCGGGACUGGGGAAGGCGCACGGGGCAGGGGCCAGGCCCAGGAUGGGGGGACAGGACCGGGGCUGGCGUGCACAGGACCAGGACCAGGACCAGGGGUGUGCACRGUAUUGAGCCUGGGGUGCCCAGGAGCAGGAGGGGGGUGCAGAGGACCAGAAGCAGGACCAGCGUUGUGCCUAGGACCACGACCAGGGCCAGGAUGGUGCCCAGGGCCAGGGCUGGGGUACGCAGGACCGGGGCCAGGAGCRGGGCCAGGAGCAGGGGUGUUCACAGAACUGCGGCUUGGACUGGGACCAAGAGCGGGUCCAGGACGGUGCCCAGGAAUGGGGGGAUGUCCAGGCCUGCGGCUGGGGUGCACAGCGCCAAGGCCGGGGCCGGGGCCGGGAGCGGGAGGGCACGCAGGACCAGCACCGGGACCGGCACCAGGAUGCACAGAACUGGGGCCGGGCCCGGGGCCAGGAGCAGGUCCGCGACGGCGCGCAGGGCCNNNNNNNNNNNNNNNNNNNNNNNNNNNNNNNNNNNNNNNNNNNNN